ACACAAAACUGGAUGACCUGCGC
rnacentral:siRNA from 1 species